CACGUAGGGGCCAAGCGUUUGUCCGGAUUUAUUGGGCGUAAAGAGCUCGUAGGCGGUUGGGUAAGUCGGGUGUGAAAACUCCAGGCUCAACUUGGAGACGCCACCCGAUACUGCUCUGACUUGAGUUCGGUAGGGGAGUGGGGAAUUCCUGGUGUAGCGGUGAAAUGCGCAGAUAUCAGGAGGAACACCGGUGGCGAAGGCGCCACUCUGGGCCGAAACUGACGCUGAGGAGCGAAAGCGUGGGUAGCAAACAGG
rnacentral:rRNA from 1 species